rnacentral:rRNA from 1 species
GUCGAACGAUGAAGCCCAGCUUGCUGGGUGGAUUAGUGGCGAACGGGUGAGUAACACGUGGGUGAUCUGCCCUGCACUCUGGGAUAAGCCUGGGAAACUGGGUCUAAUACCGGAUAUGACCUCGGGAUGCAUGUUCUGGGGUGGAAAGUUUUUCGGUGCAGGAUGAGCCCGCGGCCUAUCAGCUUGUUGGUGGGGUAAUGGCCUACCAAGGCGACGACGGGUAGCCGGCCUGAGAGGGCGACCGGCCACACUGGGACUGAGACACGGCCCAGACUCCUACGGGAGGCAGCAGUGGGGAAUAUUGCACAAUGGGCGCAAGCCUGAUGCAGCGACGCCGCGUGAGGGAUGACGGCCUUCGGGUUGUAAACCUCUUUCACCCAUGACGAAGCGCAAGUGACGGUAGUGGGAGAAGAAGCACCGGCCAACUACGUGCCAGCAGCCGCGGUAAUACGUAGGGUGCGAGCGUUGUCCGGAAUUACUGGGCGUAAAGAGCUCGUAGGCGGUUUGUCGCGUCGUCUGUGAAAUCCCGCAGCUCAACUGCGGGCUUGCAGGCGAUACGGGCAGACUCGAGUACUGCAGGGGAGACUGGAAUUCCUGGUGUAGCGGUGAAAUGCGCAGAUAUCAGGAGGAACACCGGUGGCGAAGGCGGGUCUCUGGGCAGUAACUGACGCUGAGGAGCGAAAGCGUGGGUAGCGAACAGGAUUAGAUACCCUGGUAGUCCACGCCGUAAACGGUGGGCGCUAGGUGUGGGUUUCCUUCCACGGGAUCCGUGCCGUAGCCAACGCAUUAAGCGCCCCGCCUGGGGA